UUUGCAGCGCUCAAAGCACAGUGCAAAAAUAUACACGGGAGAGGUUUGCCUUCACUCUUUCUUGCCAGAAAGCCUGUUUUUAUCAAGACAAUUUCGUUUUCAGGAGGCUAGCCAACAGUUAGCUACUAUAAUAGCUAAUAACGGAGCAUUUAGCCGCUAAAGUGAGUUGGUAGAGACCAAAACCAGAGCUACAAUGAGAGUGAGUAUUGGACUGAGCCAGGUAGAGAGAAGCAAGACCCCACAUAUCUGUGGGACUACGACGUUGACUCUUCCCAAACACAUCCCAGGCUAAGACGGCCAGCCCUACAAAUGAAAAAGUCUGUCACUGCGUGACCGACUGCUGAGUGAUGAAGAUACACGAUUGGUCUGCCGAGUGUUGGGAGUUUCCUCAUUGGCCGUUGCUCUUUCAAAAUCA